rnacentral:rRNA from 1 species
GACGAACCGUGCAAACGUUGUUCGGAAUCACUGGGCUUAAAGGGCGCGUAGGCGGGGGAGCAAGUCUGAGGUGAAAUCUUUCGGCUUAACCGGAAAACAGCCUUGGAUACUGCUUGUCUCGAGGGAGGUAGGGGCAGAGGGAACUUCCGGUGGAGCGGUGAAAUGCGUAGAUAUCGGAAGGAACGCCGGUGGCGAAAGCGCUCUGCUGGACCUCUUCUGACGCUGAGGCGCGAAAGCCAGGGGAGCAAACGGG